rnacentral:rRNA from 1 species
GAACGGCAGCGCGGGGCAACCUGGCGGCGAGUGGCGAACGGGUGAGUAAUAUAUCGGAACGUACCCUGGAGUGGGGGAUAACGUAGCGAAAGUUACGCUAAUACCGCAUACGAUCUAAGGAUGAAAGUGGGGGAUCGCAAGACCUCAUGCUCCUGGAGCGGCCGAUAUCUGAUUAGCUAGUUGGUGGGGUAAAGGCCUACCAAGGCAUCGAUCAGUAGCUGGUCUGAGAGGACGACCAGCCACACUGGAACUGAGACACGGUCCAGACUCCUACGGGAGGCAGCAGUGGGGAAUUUUGGACAAUGGGCGCAAGCCUGAUCCAGCAAUGCCGCGUGAGUGAAGAAGGCCUUCGGGUUGUAAAGCUCUUUUGUCAGGGAAGAAACGGUGGGGGCUAAUAUCCCUUGCUAAUGACGGUACCUGAAGAAUAAGCACCGGCUAACUAC